rnacentral:misc_RNA from 1 species
AUUGGGUGUUUUCUUAUGCAAUACACGUAUGAAGGUACGCUACUGCGCAUUUAAGGUGGUUCCUGGGCACUGAGGACUGAGGAGGAUAGAGUACCACUUACUUCUACAUACCAGAUAUCAAAAUGGAAGAGGAUCCCAUCUUGGCCACCUUGAAGAUUCUCAUUAUUGGUGAAAGUGGUGCUGGAAAAUCCAGUCUGCUUCUGCGGUUCGUUGACAACACGUUUGAUCCCGAUCAGAGCGCCACCAUUGGAGUCGACUUCAAGGUCAAAACCAUCAACGUGGACGGCAACAAAGUCAAACUGGCGAUAUGGGACACAGCCGGCCAGGAGCGGUUUCGGACGCUGACGCCCAGCUACUACCGCGGCGCCCAGGGCGUCAUCCUCGUCUACGACGUCUGCAGCCGCGCCAGCUUCACCAAGCUGGACAUGUGGCUCAACGAGCUGCAGACCUACGCCAACCGCACCAACAUCGUCAAAAUGCUGGUCGGCAACAAAAUUGACAUGGAGAACCGCGCCGUAUCCCGACAGGAGGGCCUGGCGUUCGCACGCCGCCACCAGAUGCUCCACAUCGAGUCCAGCGCCAAGACCAAGGAGGGAGUCCAGCUGGCCUUCGAGGAGCUCGUCCAAAAGAUAAUCCAGACGCCCGGUCUGUGGGAGUCGGACGAGGCACGCCGCGACGGCCAGCUGCGGGUCGGUGACGGCGCCGACGCACACCAGGGAGCCUGCGGCGGCUACUGUGCGCUGACGUGAUGUGGCGACACUGUGACUACCUGCCGAUCGUGACCCGAGGUGACCUGUGGGCCAGCUGCCGAGCGUGACCCGAGGUGACAAAGGAGCCAAACGAGUGACCUGCGACGGCCCUGGACAUGAGAGAAUGACCUACGCUGGCCUGGGACAUUGGCGAGUGUUCUUCGUUUGCCUUGGACCUGGGAGAGACCUGCCUGAGAGAGACCUUGAUGAUCACGGGUCUGGGACGGCUAUUACUAGCCUGGAAACCGCGCUAGUGGUUCAUCUGUAACCGAUAACUGGCUACACACUGCUGACUUGUGUCAGUUGUGACCACAACACUAUCACACGGGUAUCCGUGACACGACUUAUGAUUUGAGAGGUAGCACUGAGACGAUUCUGCGUGGUGGGUGUGUUUCGGGCGGCUUCUGGGGUGAUCUGGACUUGUGUCUCAGUCUGCCGUUCAUAAGUAAGAGACCCAACCGACCCCUUCGGUUAGCUGGGCCUCUCUAGGGACUCGUGACUGGGGAUAAGUGAUAAUUCUGUACGAACGAGUGUCGGUCUGGUAAAUGCCUGCAGCUGUGGGAUGAUUCAGUGUGUAUUUGCACGCUGUUCUGAGGAAGAUAUGGUUGAGUGUGGUGCCCGUCAGUGUAAACAGUGACUGGCUGGUGCUGGAGGAACCCGUGUGACCAGCACAAUGUGCUCCGUGAAACGACAGUAGAUAUGUGCUCGCGAUGGCCAGAGGACCACGACAGGUGUUCGCCGUGCUACGCCUGUUGUUAUAUUAACGGCUUUGCGGGGCUGAUAUAUUUUAGUCACCUAAAUAUAAGUGGUCAUGGGCCUAUCAAUUAUUUUAAUGAUUGGGGAUAUCUUGUACGGGGAGGUAUUUACAUAUGUAGUGAUCUGUCGGCCCGUUUGCCUUAGAAAUGCCCUCUUGGUCGUUGAGUUUGUGCUAGUCAGGCUAAGUUAUGUGAAAUAAAGGUAAAUUUUAAACCAGC